rnacentral:rRNA from 1 species
CCUACGGGCGGCUGCAGUAAGGAAUAUUGGUCAAUGGAGGAAACUCUGAACCAGCCAUCCCGCGUGAAGGAUGAAGGGGCUCUGCCUUGUAAACUUCUUUUGUCUGGGGCGAAAAAGCUCGAUUUAUCGAGAACUGACGGUACCAGACGAAUAAGCACCGGCUAACUCCGUGCCAGCAGCCGCAGUAAUACGGAGGGUGCCGGAGUUACCGGGAUUAAAGGGUGCGUAGGCGGCUUAGUAAGUCUGAGGUGAAAGGCUAUGGCUUAACCAUGGAAUUGCGAUUGAUACUGCAGAGCUUGAGUGAGGUUGAGGUUGGCGGAAUGUGACAUGUAGCGGUGAAAUGCUUAGAGAUGUCAUGGAACACCGAUUGCGAAGGCAGCUGACUGGACCUAUAUUGACGCUGAGGCACGAAAGCGUGGGGAGCGAACAGGAUUAGAUACCCUAGUAGUC